rnacentral:piRNA from 1 species
AGCUGUCAGAGACCAGAUGUGAACA